CAGUCGCCGCGGUAAUACAGAGGUUGCGAGCGUUAAUCGGAUUUACUGGGCGUAAAGCGUGCGUAGGCGGCUUUUUAAGUCGGAUGUGAAAUCCCUGAGCUUAACUUAGGAAUUGCAUUCGAUACUGGGAAGCUAGAGUAUGGGAGAGGAUGGUAGAAUUCCAGGUGUAGCGGUGAAAUGCGUAGAGAUCUGGAGGAAUACCGAUGGCGAAGGCAGCCAUCUGGCCUAAUACUGACGCUGAGGUACGAAAGCAUGGGGAGCAAACAGGAUUAGAUACCCCAGUAGUCCCUGUCUCUUAUAC
rnacentral:rRNA from 1 species